ACUAGAUUGCCUACUUACAACCAGAUGAGGAUGAUGAUGGGCUCUAGCUGCAGUCUGUCUCCACUGGUCUGGUGUAGAACAGGCUUUCUGGAGGCGGUUUGUAACUGUGGUCACAAAAAUCAAUGUUCUGGGAGAAGGGGAAGCAGCUCCAUUUUUUGGGGGCCCUUUACACAGCUCAAGGUCUGGGUCCCAGGGUCCACCUUCAUGUUCCACCAAUGAGUUUGUUCACAGGGGGUGGAAUGUGUAGGGGAUGUCCUGAUGUGUGUAAGGAAUGAAUUGUGUGAAUCUGUGUUUGUAUGUGUAAGGG